UUACGGCCAGAUCGCGUUUAAACACCGGUUCCUGUUCGAUCACCGAAGUUAAGCAACAUCAAGCCAGAUCCGUACUUAGAUUAGUGACCUCUUAGGAAUACCAAGUGCUGUAUG